GAAUUUUCCGCAAUGGGCGAAAGCCUGACGGAGCAACGCCGCGUGAGGGAUGAAGGUCUUCGGAUCGUAAACCUCUGUCUUCAGGGACGAUAAUGACGGUACCUGAGGAGGAAGCCACGGCUAACUACGUGCCAGCAGCCGCGGUAAUACGUAGGUGGCGAGCGUUGUCCGGGAUUACUGGGCGUAAAGGGCGUGUAGGCGGCCUUUUAGGUCAGAUGUGAAAUCUCAGGGCUUAACCCUGAAACUGCAUUUGAAACUGGAGGGCUUGAGGAUCGGAGAGGGCAGUGGAAUUCCCAGUGUAGCGGUGAAAUGCGUAGAUAUUGGGAGGAACACCAGUGGCGAAGGCGACUGCCUGGACGACACCUGACGCUGAGGCGCGAAAGCUAGGGGAGCAAAC
rnacentral:rRNA from 1 species